rnacentral:rRNA from 1 species
AACGAACGCUGGCGGCAUGCCUAACACAUGCAAGUCGAACGAUGCCUUCGGGCAUAGUGGCGCACGGGUGCGUAACGCGUGGGAAUCUGCCUUUCGGUUCGGAAUAACUCAGGGAAACUUGAGCUAAUACCGGAUAACGUCGCAAGACCAAAGAUUUAUCACCGAAAGAUGAGCCCGCGUAGGAUUAGCUAGUUGGUGAGGUAAAGGCUCACCAAGGCGACGAUCCUUAGCUGGUCUGAGAGGAUGAUCAGCCACACUGGGACUGAGACACGGCCCAGACUCCUACGGGAGGCAGCAGUGGGGAAUAUUGGACAAUGGGCGAAAGCCUGAUCCAGCAAUGCCGCGUGAGUGAUGAAGGCCUUAGGGUUGUAAGGCUCUUUUACCCGGGAAGAUAAUGACGGUACCGGGAGAAUAAGCCCCGGCUAACUCCGUG